UUUUGUUUAUUCAGUUUAACAAUUAUGUUUAAUAUGUAUGUAAAAUUAUAAUUUUAAAUAACUUAAAACAAUAUUUACAUUAUUACUACUACUAUAUAAUUUUUAUUGCGAAUGGUGAUGAUGUAGUCGAUAAAUGUUUGCGAAUAAUAUGUAUGCAGCAAUAAAUUACAUAUAGUGAUGCACUAUUAAUUAAUGAUAAAUUAUCAUAUAGUGAUAAAUGUGUGAAAUAAGCAUGUAGGAGGAGCUUAGGCAGCGAAAAAAACUUAAAAUAAAGAUAUAUGACUCGAAUGGAAAAAGUAGCUCCUAUGGAACAUAAUUAAAAAAGGUCUACAGUUAAUUUAUUUACUAUGUGUAUGAGACGGUGUUUUGAAACACCAUCCGCUCGAUGGCACCGCUUACGGUAUAAAGCUCACGUACGCCCUGAUUUAUGAUCGUCACAUGCACUGACGGCAUAACAGCCAAAUAGUUCCCACAAAAGCUUACGCUUAUUACCCCCUUAAUCAUAGCUAUAUCAUAGUGGGCUAACUCUUCGGCGCCGCUGCGCGAUAUUCCGGAUUUUUUAACCAAUCCUCCUUGAUGAGGUCAGCACCUUUCUCGCCAAUCAUAAUGACCGGCGCAUUUGUAUUGCCACUACUGAUUGUUGGCAUAAUACUGGCAUCGAUUACACGCAGUCCACGCACGCCGUAAACCCGUAGCCGUGGAUCGACCACCGCUUCAGGAUCCCAAGCCGGUCCCAUUUUGGCAGUGCCGCAAGGGUGAUAAAUUGUCAUUGAGAUGGUACGCGCUUGACACUCCAAGUAGUCGUCCGAGUAUAUUUUGUAUUUCUUGCAAUUCGGCAUUGGACGCUGGUGUACACGCGAACCGAACUGUUUGAAGACUUUAGCGUUUGCUACGCGUAGCGCAAUCUUUGCACCUUCCACCAGAGUCUUUACAUCAAACGGAUCAUCAAAAUAGUUCGCGUUAAUAAGCGGAUAGUGGAAGGGAUUUGAGGAGCUCAGACGCACCCAACCACGUGAGCGUGGACGCAACAGUAAUGGCAUGAUCGUCCAGGUGUCUUUGUUGGCAAUCGGCUUAUAAACUUCCUGGUAGAGUGACUCUUUAAGACCCAGUACUCGUUUCACGCGUGCGCCAUUGUCCGAAUUAAUGGAGGCGGGUGCCAUAUGAAACUGUAUAUCAGGCCAAUCGAUGGAGUUGUUCGAGUAAGGUGUGUGCACAAAGGCUAAUCCUUCAACGCCACCGAGCGUAGUCAUCGGUCCACGUUCACGCAGUACAUAUUGCAUGGUGAGUGCCGUGGGAUUGAAACGAUCUUGUAUUAUAGCGACAGGUUUGUCAACCAGAAACGAGAGGCCACCCAUACCAACGUGAUCUUGCAGGUUCUCACCAACCGGCAGGUCCUGCAGCACGCGUAUGUCAUGUUUUUCCAGAUGCGCCUUUGGUCCAAUGCCUGAUAGCAUCAUUAUCUGCGGUGUAUUGAUAGCACCAGCGGACAAAAUGAUCUCCCGUCUUGCGCGUAUGCGAAAUACCUUACCGUUCUUAACAAACUCCACGGUAUGAGCGCGCAUGGUGCCUGGCUCUAUGACUACUUUGGUGACAUGCGACUUCAUAGAGAGAUGGAAAUUCUUACGCAAUCUAAUUGGACGUAAGAAAGCCUUUGCGGUGCUGCAACGUGAGCCACGACGUAUAGUGCCCUGUGCAAUCAUAAAACCAGCCUGCUUCUCACCAUUGAUGUCACGAUUCUCAUAACCAAUCUCGCGUCCCGCUUCCACGAAAGCGGCAACCAAUGGUGAGUGCCAAGGUGAUUCUUGCACCGUCAUUAAACCGCCGCGUCCAUGAUAAGGGUUUUUAGCUAGGUAGGGGUUACGGUUAUCCUCCGAUUUCUUGAAGUAAUGCAGCACAUUAUUAUAGCCCCAGCCGGUGUUACCUAGCGAUUCCCAGUAAUCGUAGUCAUGUCGAUUGCCACGCACAUACAGCAUAUAGUUGAGUACACUCGAGCCACCGAGCACCUUACCGCGCGGCCAAUUGCAUUGAUUAUUUUUCAUGCCGAGACAGGCUUUGUUGGACGGUUGUGUCUUAUACUGCCAGUCAAGUUUGCUCAGCUGCAGGUAGGCGGCCAAUGAGGGCACAUCGGAGAUCUCAUUUUCAUCUGGACCCGCCUCGAUGAGUAGAACCUUCCAUCUACGCAUUUCUGUCAGUCGAUUGGCCACCACGGCGCCGGCCGAACCAGCGCCCACUACAAUGAAAUCAUAUUCAGGAUACAGAUUCAGUUGAUCGAUGGGUCGAGCCUCUGGAUCGACGCUAUCGUAGCGGUAGUAAGUAAUGGCGGCGAGCAGUAACGGUAUGAGCCAAAGGCCGGUAGUCACUACGCCGAACGUAGAUUUUAUCACAGUCGUUAUGAAGAGUAGAUUGAGUACCAUUGUCUUUGGAGUGCGAUUAAUAUGCCGUAGUCACUUAGAUUUCGAGGAGUUUAUUUUAUAAACUGUUUAUAUUUGCCAGAUUGUGUAGUUUUUCGAGUAACUGUUAUCACGUUAUGAACCUUUGCAGCAGUUUUUUCCGCUUGCUCAUUGUUAAAUGUGCUGUGAUGCGGACAAUACCACGUCCGACGGCGUUACUGUAAUUUAAACAAAAAAAAAGAAAUAAAAAACAAAUAAAUACAGUUUUUAUGUAUGAACAGUGGCGUACUAUACUUGUAUAUAAAAAGUGAGCGAUCCUUAACUAGAAAAAAUGUGACUUACUUUUGAUGAAACCGGUUGAUUGCGAACACUUCUCAGUUUCAUCCACGGAGACGGCAAUAGUGGCAGUAUUUUUUAGCUCCACCUGAUAUCGCGUCUAACACGCAAAAUAUUUAAUUUUGUUUCACAAAAAUUUUACAGUGUAUUCCUAAAAUAUAUUUAUAAAUGCAUCUAUAAAUCCAGAGUUUUUUUUUUACUUUGGAAGGCAAGCACAGCUCUUAAAGAGAUUAUGCCAUCUCUUAGAAGUGCAUAAGGCAAAAACAAAUAUUUUUUGAUAUCUAAUUUAGACCGCUAGUAUUUUCCAUCCCUUAAAUCACUAAUUUUAUUAUAUGUGUGUCGCAAAGUGUGAAAUACAUAGUUAUAUAAGCUUUGGGACGAUGUCGAUACGAGUAUAAGUAGUACAGUGAAAGUUUCCUCGGAUCGCGUUAGAGGAAUAGUAAGUUCAAAACAGGUGUGAUAUUAAUGUGAAUAUUUAAAGGUAAAUCCCGAAGUGCUGAAACGAUUGACCUAAACCUGAAUCUGAUUACUUAAUAUAAACCACACUGGAGACAACCAAGAAGAAGCGGUAUACGCGAUCAACGUGAGUGGUUGGAUUUUUCCAUACUUGAACUGGUGGAAGAAAGAAAACGUGACAAUUUUAUUUUUUAAUUAAUUUGGUUUUAUUUGGGGAAAAUUAUACUGGCGGCUUUCUAAAUAACCAAAAAAAAAAUAAUAAUAAUAAGAGAUUUGAUGAGCAAUGAAAAUAAUAAGUGCAUCAUCGCAAUCAUCUCCCAAGCUCCAUGCACGUGCUGGCGAUUUGAUUGGCUUCAAAGAAUUGUUGCGCCAAAUAUACAAUUAAUUGUAAUUAAUUUGGUUUCUACUGACGCAAAUUAAACAGUUAUUUGUCUCGACUGCAUUGCCGAGAUAGUACUAUCAAUCUGUAAACAUUUCAAUUGCGACAAAUUAAAGAAUAAAUAGCUUACUAUAUAAUUGGAAGGCAGGUUACUGUCCGCGUAAAGGCCUAAUUUGAGGCUCAAUGAGUAAAUAAUAAUUAACUUUGCUUGUAUGUUGCUUAUGUAACAAAGAAAUGAUAUCACGAGCUGUUAUGGCACAGUUGAUUUAAAACGUUCAAGGUCUAGAAAAUGUAAUGUGUUGUAAUUAAAAAAAAUAUAUAUUAAAAGUAGUUUUUAAAUCAUAAAAUAACUGUAUUUUGAGUACAUUGUAAUGUCGUUUAUUUAUUUAAAAACAUUGUGCAAUAAAAUUAUUUGUCAUAAAGAACUGUAUGCGCGGUAAGGCUUUUUAUAAAGGGGGCAGAGGAAGAGUGUUGAACCAGCUGCGGUUUUGGAACAAUUUUUUAGAGCGUAUUAUAAUUUCCUCCUUUGAUUUAAUUUUUUUUAAUUUCUAUUAUAACUACAUUUAUGUAUUGUACGUUACUUGCACGUUUUAAUAUAUAAUUUCACACCCAUGUGUAUCAUUAUACUCUGAACAGGGUAUACAAAGCUUGUAGUACCAGAAGGAAACGUCGGAGACCCUAUAAACUAUACAUACAUAUGUCUAUGUACAUAAUCAGCAUGACGAGUUGAGUCGAUUUAGCCAUGUUCAAC